rnacentral:lncRNA from 1 species
GUUGAUUCAAGUCGUCAGUCAGAUACAUGCUUUUUAUUGGGUCGAUUUGUCUUUUGCUGUUCUCCAGCGAAAGCACUCGAUAAUGGAUAAUAUUAACAAAUUUAUCCUCCCAUAUGGUAGUCUUGUGCCAAAAAUUAAAUGGACAGGUAAUCGUUAUUUAUAUUUCAUUGUAGUCAGAAUUUCUUUUGUGAGAUAUUCAAUGUCUUUGAAUCCCAAUUUCUCGCAGGUUGACUUGACAGAAUAUGUGGAGAAGCAUGAAUUUGUCUUUGAUGCCGUGCUAAAUGAGGAAGUAUCAAAUGAUGAGGUGAUGAGCGUGAUCUAGAGUGAAACCAUGUAAAAUACUCUUGGUGUCUCGGCCUAUAACUUUUUCUCAACAUUUUAUAUCUCUAGGUCUAUCGAGAAACUGUGGAGCCCAUUGUUCCAAUAAUUUUCCAACGAACCAAAGCUACUUGCUUCGCCUAUGGGCAAACAGGUAAUUGCUUACAUGUAAUCAUCAGUAGAUUUGGUGUUAGAAGCUUGCUGUAGUUUGUUUGACUUUUAUUUCUGUAUUUCUAGUUUUGGUUUUUUUAUCUACAUACUCUGGUGGUCCUGUUGCAUGCUUGGUAAGCAUAUUUGAGUUUUUUAAUUAAACUUUUCUUCAAUUUUUAUGGAAUUAUUUUCAAGUUUUAUCAAGGCGAGCCUCUUUUAAGAAUGUAGGGGAAGAACAUGCUUGAUUACCCCAUUCAUGCAAAAGUGAGGCUUGAUUGAGAUGUUUUAGGUUUUGCAGCUACCUAUGGACUUGCUAGAGAAGCAAGACAGGUCCCAUAUAAAGCAAAAAAUAUCAUGAUGAGUAGAUAGUUAAGUAGCAUGGGCACUUUAACUAGGGUAAUAUGUCCGACACGUGUUGGAUACCGAGACUCCUUGGAUACUAUCCCAUUGUCAUUUUUUCUUUAUUAAAAAUGUUAUAUAUUUUCAACUCAAAGUUAUUGUUAAACAACAAAUAUAUACUCAUAUUUAAAAGAUUUCUACAAGAAAAAUUUAUAACAAAUAUAAAAUUAAAUCCUGUUUAAUAGGGAUUAAAGUUAGAUUUUUAAUAGAUUUUGAUAGAAGUUGAUGAAAUGUGUGGUUGAAAAGCGUCGUUCCAUAAAAUGUGUAGUUAAAAUUAAUUGUUAACUUUGACUUAUAUUCAAAGUUGAAUUUUAACUUUUACCAAAUAGGGGCUAAAUUUACACUGUAUAAAUGAAAAAUUUUAAAGAGUUUUAACAAUUUGUCGAUGAUGUGUCGUAUUAGUAAUUUUUUGAGAAAUUAUGUCUUGACAUGUCCGUGUAGGUGCUUUAUACGUAGACAAAAUCUAGACUUGAAAGACAGACUUGUAAUUGGUGCAGUUAUUGACAUUGUGUGCAAAAAAUCUAGAAAUGAUAGUGUUGGAUAAAUUUAUUGCUCACCUGGUAUAACGAAUUAAUUACCAAUAGUAAUAUUUUUUAUUGGUGGCUUGGAGAAAUGAACCAUGCUGUUAAAGCAUCAGUUAGUAACCCUUUUAUGGAAGGCAUGCUCUUGUUGAUUUAAUUUAUUAACUAUAAUUGUCCUCCAAAGCCAUGGAUAUUUCUGUAGCUGCUUACACGGACUUCUCUUAUCACGAGAGGCGUUGCUAAAUCAAUAAGAUAAUUGUGCAUUAUAAUAAGCAUUUGAAUUAUCCAAAUAUUAUAACUUAUUUUAUUAUUAUUAUUUUUAUAUAAUUUUCGUUCUCAUGCUGAUUUGAAGCAAAUUGUUUUUAGAAAAUUACAAUUUUUGUAUGCCCUAUAAAGUCAAUUAGUUCUACAUUUUUUUAUCCAUAUUAACCUUAAAAACUAUACUAAGCCUUUUUUAUGAAUCACAAAAUGGCUAUAAUGUGAGAAACGAUGAGAAUGUACUAUGAUAAAUAAUCUAAGAAAGUGUUAGCUUUAAGGCAUGUAGACAUUUCUCAAUCUCCUAAAGUGUUUGUAUUUGAGGUUUUUUGAUCCCAUGGGGAGAUUAAACUUUCUCCUUAGAAGCAUCGACAUGGACACAAUUGUCAGACGCAUAUUAUUAUGUUGGGCCUCUGAUACGCGUUAGUGACAUUUCGGUGUCUAAUAUGUGUUCGAUUUCGAUAUGUUGACCGCGACAGCAUGUUGGUACUUUUUAGUUCUCCUUCAAGUUUUUAUCAAUGGGAAAGAGACUUAGGUUUAUCUAAUUAUUGAGAGCUUCAAUAUAUUUUUCCAGACAUGAGUUUACCGAAAUGUGAAUGUCAAUCCUAAACAAUAUUAUAUAACUGUUGAGUGCACCAUUUUCAUUUGUUUCUAUAGAAGAAUGAGAAAUGUCCAAAUGUCUCAAAGCUCACACUAUCUUAUAUUAUUUUUAUGGUACAUUCCCAUUGUCUCCUACAUUAGGCAUCCCGUGAUCCAUUACAAAUGACUUAGUAUAAUUUUUAAGGUUCAUGUAAAUAAAAAUCAAAGAACAAGCUGACUUUACAACGCCAUAUAAGUGAAAAACUUUACAGAAAUUGUAAUUUUCUAAGUAAUUUCCUUCAAAUCAGCACGAGAGUAUGAAAUAAUAUUUGGGUAAUUCUAAUAUUUAUUGCAAUGCAUAACCAUGAAUAUCCAUCAGUCUAAAGCAUUUAGAGGUGAUCGUCAUUAACUUUAGUCAAAUACCUGUCUUGAACUAGUUUACUACCUCAUCUAAAAGAUUAAGCCAUUAGAGGGAAUAAACAUAUUUAUUUGAAAUUUAUUUAAACUUACUGUAUAAUAUUAUCAAAUAAUUUUUGAAUGCAAUGGGCGAUAAGCCCAACUUAACUGAUUGCAGGCCUCAAACUUUUGGACCGUCUAUUUGGUCUCGCAAUGGACUUUGUGAUUGGCAUUAAUCAACGUUAGGGUGUGUUUGAGCCACAUUCUUGUUAAAGAAUGUAUUUUGGAAUAGUAAAUUGAUGGAGAAUGUGUGGUUAAAAAAGAAGAAGAAAUUUUUUAUUUGCAUGUAAGAUUAUUUUAAUGAAGAAUGUGGUUGAAAAGACGGGAGAGAAAAAUAUAUUUUAGGAAAAAUGGGAAUCAAACAUCCCCUUAUUAUACGUCACAAACUUAGCAUAUGUUUGAGCCCCAUUUUAAGGGAAAAAUAGGUUUUGUAAAAGUGAUUUUUUAGAAAAUGUAUAGUUAAAAGUAGGAAAGUUUUUAUUUGGUGAAUGUGUGGUUAAAAAUGAUUUUGGGGAAAAAUGAAUUUUUAUAAAGGCUCAAACAAGGGUUUAGUGUUGUUUGUGUUAAUUUUUUUAUAGGGCAACUUACAGAAAUACUCUUGAGCUCUUAUUUGAUGCCAUUAUUUGGCCAAAAUAAUGUUUUGAAUAGUGAUUUUUAUGCAAAUGUGUGCUUAAAAAGUAGAAAUUUUUUUUAAGUUUACAUGCAAAAUAUUUUAUUGUGUGAAAGCAUGGUAGAAAAUAAGUAUACAAAAAAAGAGUUUUCAAAUAAUAAUUGUCAAACAGGGGCUAAAACAUAGGGGUUUUUGAAAAAUCAUAUGAAAAGUAUUUUGGAAGUAAAAAAUACUAUGUAAAGUCAGGUGAGACUUUUUUUAAAAAAAAGAAAAAAAAAGACAUAAAAUGCUACUAUUUAAUCAAAAAGUGAUGUGUGUUCACUUUCUAUACCAUGAAAAUUUAAGUCAACAUUUAACACAACAUAAAAUAAAUUAACAUACGUUGGAAAUUGAUUGUGUGUGACAUUUAAUAUAAAAAUUGCACAACACGCUUUAUAUGUUACAUUUUAAUGAAAUGCCACAAACCAUGUAACUUGACUUUCUUAAUAAAAUAUUUAAAGAUUAAAUGGUCUUUUCUUCUGUGACAUUAAACAUGGAAGCAAUUCAGUUAAGCGACAAAAAUUCAAAAAGUGAAAAACAUCAAUCAAAAUCUGAGAAUAGAUUUAGGGGUGAUUGAUUUUCUUCUACAUGGUCUAGUGGACAUGUUGCAUGCUUGCUAAGCAUAUUUGAGAUCCUUAAUUAAACUUUUCUUCAAUUUUUAUGGUAUUACUUUCAAGUUUCCUCAAGGCGAGAGCCUAUUAAGAAUGUGGGGAAGAACAUGCUUGAUUACCUCAUUCAUGCAAAAGUGAAGCUUGGAUUUAGAUUUUUGGUUUUGCAGCCACCCAUGGACUUGCCAGAUAAACAAGACGGUCCUAAAUAGAGCAAAAAAAAUGUCAUAGAUGAGUAGAAACUAUAAAGAAUCUAGACCUGAAAGACGGACUUGCAUUUGGUGCUGUUAUUGACAUUGUGUGCAGAAAAUCUAGAAGUGACGGUGUUGGAUAAAUUUGUUGCUCAUCUGGUUUAACAAGAUAUUUUUGAUUGGUGGUCUGGAGAAAUGAACCAGGCGGGUAAAGCAUCAGUCAGUUACCCUUUUAUGGAAGACAUGCUCUAGGUGAUUUAAUUUACUAACUUUGAUUGUCCUCCAAAGCCAUGGAUAUUUCUGUAGCUGCUUCCAUGGACCUCUCUUAUCAUGAGAGGCAUUGCAGAAAGAGUAAAAUGAACAAAAUUCAUGGUUGGUUAUCUGACGUUUUAUAUAAUUUGAAAUAGAACAAAAGAAGGUGCUAAAUUUGGGUCCCUGCCGUAUUAAAGGACUAAUUUUUGCUUAUGAUCGGCUGAUAAGUGAUACCAGACAUAUUUGAAAGAUAUCCAUGAAGAUGUUAUUUUUCUCUGUGUCAUCCUAAUUCUUAACUAAUCUGUAAGCUUUGUCUAACUUUUUACGUUUUUUCUUCUGAAAUUUAUUCAGGAAGUGGUAAAACUUUUACCAUGAAACCACUACCCCUCAAGGCUUCUAGGGAUAUUUUGAGGCUUAUGCAUCACACUUACAGGAAUCAAGGGUUUCAAUUGUUUGUAAGCUUCUUUGAGAUAUACGGAGGGAAAUUAUACGACUUACUCAGUGAUAGGAAGUAAGAUGCCCCACUAGGUUCUCACUUAAAUCAUUCAGCCAUUACUAGUCACCAUAUGGAUUUUCAAGACCUUUCAUAUUUUCUUUUUGUAGAAAGCUUUGCAUGAGAGAGGAUGGCAAGCAACAAGUUUGUAUUGUAGGCUUGCAAGAGCACAAAGUAUCAGAUGUGGAGACAAUUAAGGACCUUAUCGAGAAAGGAAAUGCAACAAGAAGUACAGGCACCACUGGAGCUAAUGAGGAAUCAUCCCGUUCACAUGCCAUUCUUCAGCUUACCAUUAAGAGGUCAGCUGAUGGCAAUGAAUCCAAACCUGCUCGAGUUGUUGGCAAGCUAUCUUUUAUAGACCUUGCUGGAAGUGAACGUGGUGCAGAUACUACUGAUAAUGAUAAGCAAACAAGGUAUAUAUAACUUCAUCAUCUUCUUCUUCCUUAGUAUUCUCUGGGAAAACAUUCAAUUUGGACAUCUGAUCUUAAAACAGAAAUCUAACAAAUGCAGAGAUGUAUUUAUCAUGUUGUGUUUGAGGGUGCAUAACAUUUGCACUUUAUAUGCUAAUAAUUAUUAUUACCCAAGUAUUGUCUGUUGUUUGAGAAAAAAAACUAUACUUAUAGUGUCCAUUGGUCUCUCAUGUUAUUUGAUAUGAUACCAACAAUUUGCAUUUUUUAAAUAAGUUCUCAGUUAGCGUUUUCUGAAUAUGCAGAAUGGAAGGAGCUGAGAUUAAUAAAAGUUUGCUUGCCUUGAAGGAAUGCAUUAGAGCUCUUGAUAAUGAUCAAGGGCACAUUCCAUUUAGAGGCAGUAAAUUAACUGAAGUCUUAAGGGAUUCAUUUGUUGGAAAUUCUCGUACUGUGAUGAUUUCAUGUGUUUCACCCAAUGCCGGAUCCUGUGAACAUACAUUAAACACAUUAAGAUACGCGGACAGGCAAGUCUCAUUUUUUAAUGAUAUAAAUCUUCUGUUGGGCAAAUGGCACCUUCUCUGUAAGGUCUUAUCUUCUUUCUUUUUAAUUAUAGGGUGAAGAGCCUUUCAAAGGGGAACAACAACAAAAAAGAUGUUUUCUCAUCAACCUCAAAUCUGAAGGAAUCAACACCACAGCCUCUGUCAUCAGUUUUACCGCCUGCAUCAACAUUUGAAGAUGACGCUGGUGAUUCGUGGCCUGAACAAACUGAUAGGGAAGAAUAUGACGAAGAGUUAUACGAGACAGAGAAGCCAGUAUGGACAAAAAACUCAAAAGUUGAAUCAUACAGUUUUUCUAAGAUGGACGAUAAAAUGAGAGCCAAUGGCCAGUCAAAGUGGAAGGAACCCCUUAAGUCGGAUGUGAAAUACUCGAAUUCUGACGAAGACUUGAACUCUCUUUUGAAAGUAAGACUACUAGAAAUUGCUUUUUAACAACAGAUCGAGUCCAGUCCAGGCGCUGACUUCUGUGACUCUUUGAUUCUUUAGGAAGAGGAAGAUCUCGUAAAUGCCCAUAGAAGACAAGUGGAGGAGACAAUGGAUAUUGUUCGAGAGGUUAGUGAUAAUCUUAUAGCAGCCCUAACAUGUCCUUUUUUUUUUUUUCGUCGGUGAUGGAAUAGAAGAAUAUUAGUUGGAUCAAAACCAAUUUAUUACUUUCACAUUACUCAUACACUGUUCCGGCCUUGAAUCUAGACACCGUCUUCGGUUGUUAGCAUUGGCAGCUUUACGAUACUAUUGAGUGUUCUCUUUUGUAUUUUGAUGCUUUCUAUACGAGGUCUCAAGUAUAUUCGGUGUUGAUUUAGAUGGAUCACGUCUUUCAUAUGAUUAUGAUGCAAAUUACCAGCAUUCAUGGUAGAGAGUUUACCUGAAUUAUAGCCAUCUCAUUUUCUGUUAAUUGAUUUGAAAGUUAAUUCAUUUUAUAAACGUAGAUUGGUGUAUCUCAUUUUAUUUUACAAGUUGUAUUCUUAAGUCUAUGCACCUUCAUCAAAUUUUACUUUACCAUUUGCAGGAGAUGAAUCUAUUGGUUGAGGCAGAUCAACCAGGGAAUCAGCUAGAUGAUUAUGUCACUAGAUUGAAUUCAAUCUUGUCCCAAAAGGCUGCCGGUAUUUUACAGUUACAGAAUCGCUUGGCUCAUUUCCAAAGACGAUUAAAAGAGCACAACGUCAUAGUAUCUUCUGGUAAUUAAGUGUCAUACGACAAUGCACAUAGAAUUCGGUGUGAUGCAUAUUGCUUGGGAUAGUAGCUUACAAUAUCAUUAUUAUUUAACAAAAUCAUACGGCAGAUGCCAUUUGCUUUGCAGCUAAGUAAUUCUUAGUAUCAUUCUUAGCUUACAAUAUGAAUGUUUCUCUGCUUGUUUAUGAUUGAUAGUAAAUUAUUUUCAUCUGCUGAUCACGUUGACUUUGGAAGGCUACUAAGGAUUGAGUGAAUAAUGGAAAACAUACGCAAGGCCUCGAUCGUGGCCUUCCCAUUUUUCUUGGAGAAGCUUGUC